rnacentral:rRNA from 1 species
UACGGAGGGUGCAAGCGUUGUCCGGAUUUAUUGGGUUUAAAGGGUGCGUAGGCGGCCUGUUAAGUCCGUGGUGAAAGCCAACAGCUCAACUGUUGAACUGCCAUGGAUACUGACAGGCUUGAGUACAGACGAGGUUGGCGGAAUUGAUGCUGUAGCGGUGAAAUGCAUAGAUAGCAUCAAGAACACCGAUUGCGUAGGCAGCUAACUAGGCUGUAACUGACGCUGAGGCACGAAAGCGUGGGGAGCGAACAGG